UGUAAACAGUAUGUAAGUAGAUGUAGAAGAUAUGCUGUCUGAUGUGAGAAGGAGCUGAAGGAUCAUUGAAGGCCGCCUCCUGUGUUGGCCCCACUUUAUUAAUGAAUGUACUGAGACUGGGGCUCCAUUGACUUUCCUGAGGUCACAUAACUGAUAAAUGAUCAAACAGUUGUAGGACCAGUUUCCAACAACACCGAUCUUCGACAUAAAAAUCCUGAAUUUUGGGAUGGCGGAGUUGUUCUUCAAACUCAGCCUGUCUUCUCUAUUUCUGUUCUGACUGUCUUAGUAAUAAUAGUAGAUACAACUUAUAUGGUGCUGUCCUAGAAUGCUAGGGUUGCCAAAACAAAAUGGCUCAACCUGGGUGGCUCAAACAAUAGAAACUUAGUGUGUCACAGUCUGGAAGCUAGAAGUCCAUGCUCAAGAUGCUGUCAGAGUUAGUAUCUGGUAGGGCCUCUUCCUUUGGGUUGCAGACAGCCACCUUCUCCCUCUUACAGGUGAGAAAACGGAGGCAUAGAGCAUUCUAAUAACUUGUUUAUGGUCUUGUGGAGGGUUGAGCCAGGUUUUGGGUCGUCAUAUCAGUCCAGUCCGGAGUCCAGGUGUGCUCACCCCCUGCCUAUCUGACCUCUCUUUACCCCUCUUUUGUGGUGUGGUCUAUCACAACAGAUCCUAGGGCUCGGCCUAUUCGGCAGACUCCAGAGGAAGUUAGUUUCCUAACGUGAGCUCUCACGGGGUGAAUCCAUCUGUUCG
rnacentral:lncRNA from 10 species